GAUGAACGCUGGCGGCGUGCUUAACACAUGCAAGUCGAACGAAGAUGCCGGAGUGCUUGCACUUUGGCAGACUGAGUGGCGGACGGGUGAGUAACGCGUGGGUAACCUGCCUUAUACAGGGGGAUAACAGUUGGAAACGACUGCUAAUACCGCAUAAGCGCACGGUAUCGCAUGAUACAGUGUGAAAAACUCCGGUGGUAUAAGAUGGACCCGCGUCUGAUUAGCUAGUUGGUGAGGUAACGGCCCACCAAGGCGACGAUCCAUAGCCGACCUGAGAGGGUGACCGGCCACAUUGGGACUGAGACACGGCCCAAAACUCCUACGGGAGCAGCAGUGGGGAAUAUUGCACAAUGGGGAAACCCUGAUGCAGCGACGCCGCGUGAGCGAAGAAGUAUUCGGUAUGUAAAGCUCUAUCAGCAGGAGAAAAAAAUGACGGUACCUGACUAAGAAGCCCCGGCUAACUACGUGCCAGCAGCCGC
rnacentral:rRNA from 1 species